AACGUGUCUUCAUAACCCAUUAAUUUCACUUUGCAGUGCAUCCCUCGAAUGUGGCACAGAUUCAGGUAAUAUCCCUGAGGCUUGUCUGUUGUUGUCUGCGUGGGACUCUCAGCAGUUUUUGGACUGAUCGUGACUCAAGACCGCGCCUCCAACAGCCCGAGGACACCGGACUCCACUCAACUGGGCCUCAGCUACAAGAGUACUACAAGAAAACAGUCCAAAAAUGAAGAACUGCAACACAUCUUUACUGGCGUUUCCAGCUAAGAUUUGAGAUCUCAGGAAACAGAAGACUGGAAAGAUGACAGGACGUGAGGGAGCGAGAGAGCAUGGGAAUGGAGCAGAAGAGAAGGAGAAGUGAGUGGGCGAGGAAUCAGAUGCCAUGUGUUUGUGAGUGAGUCAGACCCACAGAGCUGGCAUGACCCACCCAAAAGGAGAGAAACUGGCCUUACCAACCAUCGAAUGACCGGGUCGCUUUGAAACAGAUGUUUGCUCUCUGUGGAAGUUCUGGGUUUGUGACGAAGCUGUCAAACAUGUUUGUCCAAAUUUAAAUCAGGUAAGGUUUAGAUUUUUCAUCCAUUCAUUCCCCAAACGUCUGGAUGACACCUUGUACAGCAGCUCAGAAACUCUGUGAUCAGUUUAGGCAAAAACAGAGUGUCAGUGGAGCUGAACACCAUCUUUACAGGUAAACUUCACCCUCAGAGCAGAGCCAGUUUUCUUGUUUGGUCGUGUCAAAAAACAAAGUGCACAUAAAAUUGGUGCUGAGAAUGAACCGAGGAGCUGCUGCACUACACCAACGUGUUUUCCACUUCAGCACGUCCUGAUGUGGAAAAUAAUUCAGCACCUUAUAUAGCAGAUAAAACCGAAGCUGCACACUGAAGAGCCAUCACUCAUUGUCCUCUGAUUAUGUUCUCUCUAAACAGCAGUAACUGCUUUCAAAUCAGACAGAACAGCCUCGGUGUCGUUGGAGUGUACAUGGCCUGCUUUAGCUGGAAAUGUCCACCGGAAAAAACAAAACGGCCAGACAGCAACAGAUUAAUAUUACCAGGAUUUCAUAACGCAGACAGAUUGAAUGACACUUGCUUCCAAUGCAUUUAUUCAUUUAAUACUUUGUUCGGGCUGCUCCAGCAAUUUCAUCCGGCUCCUGUUUGUAGGGCCAGUCUACAGAUUCUGUCGGUGUUUUUGCUUUCUCGCCACAGAAACUGCUUACGUUUCACGCUCACUUUAAUAAAUGUCACAAUAAACAAAAACAAAUUCUGUCAGGAGAAAAGUGGCAUGAAUCAAUUUAGUCUGGACGCUCACCUCACCCUUCCCACACUCAAAACCCCUGCGUUCCCUCCUCUUUGGCAGGCUGAUGGGUUUUGCUCCUCCGCAGCACACCCGUCAGCUAUGAGCGAUUCGGGUUUGACAACAAAGACAUUCUUAAAAAUCGUCCAUUUCUCCUCCUCAGCACGACACAACACUCUCAGCCUACUAGGCUGGCUGCAAUCACACACUUCAGUGAAAUGCAAUAAACAGCAAGUCUGAGAUGAGAAACUGCAAAGGUGACCAAAGCGACAACUGACACAAACACCGAGAUCUGUCCUAUUAUGUCUCAGUGGAGAAUACUGAGUGACGGUGCACGACUAAACACUCAGGAAAAACUGUUUUCAACAACCUGAACGCACAAAUAUGGGGUCAAAGCAACUGUAAUGGUAAAAAUAUUUAGGGGGGGAUCCAUUUUAUUUCUGUUUUUGCUGUAUCAUAUCUCCUGUUUCAGUGCUGGAUGCUCAUUUAAGCAAGGCCAAAGGUCAGUGUAUGUACAAGGAAUCCACGUGAGCCAGAAGUUCACGCAGUUUAUCACAUCUUUUUUCUGCUCUUGACUCUGUAUGAUGUCAAAGAGAGGGGAUAUGCCUAAUAUGGUCAUGUUUUGUCUAUGAGGGGCAGCUUGUUUCAGACAGAGGAUGAACUGAUGGGGUGGAAUAAGAAGGAGAAGAAGACUGAGGAGAUGGAGGAGGAGGAGAAGUAGAAGAAGAAGAAGGAGGAGAAGAUGAUGAAGGAGAAGAAGUAGUAGUAGCAGCAGCAGUUGGAAUAAGCACAUUUUACAAUAAAACUUUCUCGUGCGAUUAGUUACAUGAAAAUGAUUUUCAUUUUUCAUGUGUUUUUAUAACAUGUAUCUGAAUGUUGGAUUAAGUGAAGAUCCAAAUUCUCUUUUUCUUAUUCACAUUCAGAGAAUCGCACAUGUCCACUGAUGCAGCACUUAUGUAAACAAGGUGGA